rnacentral:misc_RNA from 1 species
CAUAAAUAAGCAAUCUAUUGGCUUUCUCACUGCAGUAUCCGAUCAGAUUCACGAGAUUUCGGUGAUGGAUGCGGUUAAGCGUCCCAAUCUCUGCCAUAAAUUCAUUUUCCCCUUGUCUAGACAUAUGUUUAAGCUUCUUAAUUGCAACAACCAUACCAUUUGGAAGCGUUCCCUUAAAAACCUGACCAAAACCACCCUCGCCAAGGAGAUUGAAAUUGGAAAAGCCACCAGUUGUUUUUGCUAAUUCUUGAUAAGUAAAUACUCUUAAUGUAGUAAUUUGUAUCCUCUCAACGCUAAGUACAGAUUCUAGAUU